rnacentral:rRNA from 1 species
CCUACGGGUGGCUGCAGUGAGGAAUAUUGGUCAAUGGGAGGAAUCCUGAACCAGCCAUGCCGCGUGCAGGACGACGGCUCUACGAUUUGUAAAUUGCUUUUUUACCGGGGUAAAAUGCUCUACUAGUAGGGUUUUUAAAGUCCGGUACGAAUAAGCAUCGGCUAACUCCGUGCCAGCAGCCGCGGUAAUACGGAGGAUCCGAGAGUUAUCCGGAUUGAGUGGGUUUAAAGGGAGCGUAGGUUGUUUUAGAAGUUAGAGGUGAAAUACCGAGGCUCAACAUCGGGGCUUCCGUUGAUACUGUAGGACUAGAGAUCGGAUGAAGCAAGCGGAAUGUGUAGUGUAGCGGUGAAAUGCAUAGAUAUUACACAGAACACCGAUUGCGAAGGCAGAUUGCUAGGCAGGAUCUGACACUGAUGCACGAAAGCGUGGGGAUCGAACAGGAUUAGAUACCCUUGUAGUC